ACUUGCUUCGGCAGAAUAUAUACUAAAAAUGGAACGAUACAGGGAAGAUUGGUGUGGCCCCUGCGCAAAGAAGACACGCAUAUUUGUGAAGCGUUCCGUUUCUUA